GCCGACUUAGCUCAUUUGGUAGAGCAGUUGAUUUGUAAUCAUCAGGUGAUCCGUUCGAUUCGGAUAGUCGGCACCA
rnacentral:tRNA from 1 species